rfam:Gossypium hirsutum cultivar TM-1 chromosome 24, whole genome shotgun sequence
UGUUAAAAAAAUUAUCUAUUUAUAUGGUUAAAAAUUAACGUGGCUGAUAAAAUAACUAGAUAAUGACACGUAGUAUGCCAUGUAUACCUCAUGCUAACAUACAAGAACCAAUUUUUAACAGUAAAAAUUGAUUAAAUUUAAAA